UACAGAGGUCCCAAGCGUUGUUCGGAUUCACUGGGCGUAAAGGGUGCGUAGGCGGUCGGGUAAGUCUGAUGUGAAAUCUCCAAGCUCAACUUGGAAAUGGCAUCGGAUACUAUUCGGCUCGAGGAAUGGAGGGGAGACUGGAAUACUUGGUGUAGCAGUGAAAUGCGUAGAUAUCAAGUGGAACACCAGUGGCGAAGGCGAGUCUCUGGUCUGUAACUGACGCUGAGGCGCGAAAAGCGUGGGGAGCAAACAGG
rnacentral:rRNA from 1 species